rnacentral:pre_miRNA from 1 species
CCCACACCUAUGUGUGUAAGAUCCCAAAGGAUCACCAUUAAAUUUGGCACAAAUAUCUAGAAAAGUUUAUAUAUGGGUGUGAGACUUGACUUUUCUAGAGAUCUGUACCAAAUUUAAUGGUGAUCCUUUGGGGUCCUACACACAUGGGUGUGGG